UACGUAGGGUGCAAGCGUUAAUCGGGAAUUACUGGGCGUAAAGCGUGCGCAGGCGGUUCGCUAAGACAGAUGUGAAAUCCCCGGGCUUAACCUGGGAACUGCAUUUGUGACUGGCGGGCUAGAGUAUGGCAGAGGGGGGUAGAAUUCCACGGUGUAGCAGUGAAAUGCGUAGAGAUGUGGAGGAAUACCGAUGGCGAAGGCAGCCCCCUGGGCAAUACCUGACGCUCAUGCACGAAAGCGUGGGGAGC
rnacentral:rRNA from 1 species